UUCGCCCUUAGAGUUUGAUCCUGGCUCAGGAUGAACGCUGGCGGCGUGCCUAACACAUGCAAGUCGAACGGACAUCUUCGGAUGUCAGUGGCGAACGGGUGAGUAACGCGUAGGUAAUGUGCCCUUGCGCUGCGAAUAACAGCCUGAAAAGGCUGCUAAUACGGAAUUGUCUCCAUUCCCGGCAUCGGGUUUGGAGUAAAGAUUUAUCGCGCGAGGAUCAGCCUGCGUCCUAUUAGUUAGUUGGCGGGGUAACGGCCCACCAAGACGACGAUGGGUAACUGGUCUGAGAGGAUGAACAGUCACACUGGAACUGAGAACGGUCCAGACUCCUACGGGAGGCAGCAGUGAGGAAUUUUGCGCAAUGGAGGAAACUCUGACGCAGCAACGCCGCGUGAGUGAUGACGGCCUUCGGGUUGUAAAGCUCUGUCGAGAGGGACGAGUAGGGACGGUACCUCUCAAGAAAGCCCCGGCUAACUAUGUGCCAGCAGCCGCGGUAAGACGUAGGGGGCGAGCGUUAUCCGGAAUCACUGGGCGUAAAGAGCUCGUAGGUGGAUUUGUAAGUCCGGGAGCAAAUGUCCCCGCUCAACGGGGUCAUCAUUCCGGAUACUGCAUGUCUUGAGGACAGGAGGGGAAAGUGGAAUUUCCAGUGUAGCGGUGAAAUGCGUAGAGAUUGGAAAGAACACCGGUGGCGAAAGCGUCUUUCUGGCCUGUAUCUGACACUGAGGAGCGAAAGUCAGGGGAGCGAACGGGAUUAGAUACCCCGGUAGUCCUGACCGUAAACGAAGAAAUGCUAGGUGUGGGGGGAGUAGAUUCCUUCCGUGCCGAAGUAAACACAAUAAGCAUUCCGCCUGGGGAGUACGGCCGCAAGGUUGAAACUCAAAGGAAUUGACGGGGGCCCGCACAAGCAGUGGAGCAUGUGGUUUAAUUCGACGAUACGCGAAGAACCUUACCAGGGUUUGACAUAUGCGCGCCCGGGCCGGAAACGGCCCCUUUCUUCGGAACGCGCAUACAGGUGCUGCAUGGCUGUCGUCAGCUCGUGCCGUGAGGUGUUGGGUUAAGUCCCGCAACGAGCGCAACCCUUGUCGCCAGUUGCCACCGGGUAACGCCGGGCACUCUGGUGAUACUGCCCUCGCAAGAGGGAGGAAGGUGGGGAUGACGUCAAGUCAGCAUGGCCCUUACGUCCUGGGCCACACACGUGCUACAAUGGCAGGUACAGAGGGCAGCGACGCCGCGAGGCCAAGCGAAUCUCAAAAAUCCUGUCUCAGUUCGGAUUGGAGGCUGCAACCCGCCUCCAUGAAGUCGGAAUUGCUAGUAACCGCAGAUCAGCUACGCUGCGGUGAAUACGUUCCCGGGCCUUGCACACACCGCCCGUCA
rnacentral:rRNA from 1 species